rnacentral:rRNA from 1 species
GGAGUGAAGAAUCUCUGGAUUAGUGGCGGACGGGUGAGUAACGCGUGAGCAAUCUGCCUUACACAAAGGGAUAGCCUCGGGAAACCGGGAUUAAUACCAUAUGAUAUCUAUUAACCGCAUGGUUUAUAGAUUAAAGAAUUUCGGUGUAAGAUGAGCUCGCGUCCCAUUAAUUAGUUGGUGAGGGUAACGGCCCACCAAGAUAGCGAUGGGUAGCCGAUCUAAGAGGAUGACCGGCCACAUUGGAACUGAGAAACGGUCCAAACUCCUACGGGAGGCAGCAGUGGGGAAUAUUGCACAAUGGGGGAAACCCUGAUGCAGCGACGCCGCGUGAGCGAUGAAGGCUUUCGAGUCGUAAAGCUCUGUCCUAUGGGAAGAUAAUGACGGU